GGCCCCAUCGUCUAGAGGCCUAGGACAUCACCCUUUCAAGGUGGAGGCGGGGGUUCGAAUCCCCCUGGGGCCA
rnacentral:tRNA from 1 species